AUCAGCAAUGACCUCGCGCGGUUGGAUGGACCGAUGUUCGAUUAGCUUGUUGGUGGGGUAAUGGCCUACCAAGGCGACGAUCGAUAGCUGGUCUGAGAGGAUGAUCAGCCACACUGGGACUGAGACACGGCCCAGACUCCUACGGGAGGCAGCAGUGGGGAAUAUUGGACAAUGGGCGCAAGCCUGAUCCAGCAAUGCCGCGUGUGUGAAGAAGGCCUUCGGGUUGUAAAGCACUUUUAUCAGGAGCGAAAUACCACGGGUUAAUACCCUAUGGGGCUGACGGUACCUGAGGAAUAAGCACCGGCUAACUUCGUGCCAGCAGCCGCGGUAAUACGAAGGGUGCAAGCGUUAAUCGGAAUUACUGGGCGUAAAGCGUGCGUAGGUGGUUUUUUAAGUCUGCUGUGAAAUCCCCGGGCUCAACCUGGGAAUGGCAGUGGAUACUGGAAAGCUAGAGUGUGAGAGAGGAUGGUGGAAUUCCCGGUGUAGCGGUGAAAUGCGUAGAGAUCGGGAGGAACAUCAGUGGCGAAGGCGGCCAUC
rnacentral:rRNA from 1 species